rnacentral:rRNA from 1 species
AUGGCAAGGCCGAAAACUCUACUUCGGCCAACAGUUGGCCGAAAACUACCUUUUCGGCCUGCACGUGGCCGCCGACAGGGUCAUAGUUUUGCAUUUUUUUCAUUAUGUGCUAUACUUUCCGAAAUUGCUACAAAAUACGUCAUACUUUUGAAAAAAAAUCCCAGCACCGAGCCUCCGAAGGCAGUCGACUGGGAGGCGACCGCCAUGGCCACCGGCUCCGGCUGCGUCCCCGGCGCUCUGCGCUUGGUUUCGUGGCGAGGACAGUCCUCGUCCUCCUCCUCCUCCCGCGCUCUGGUUCGUCUCCGCCCGCGCGUCGCCUCGUUCGCUGCCCCGACUCGUCCUCUCCAUCGCGCCCUUCCUCCAGCUCCCGCCCCGCACAUGACGCUCCGUGCUCCUCUUCCUCCUGCGAGGUGCCAGGCCCCCGCAACUCCGGAGUCGCCCUUGGAGCCGCCAAGCCUUUGGCAAAAGGUGCUGCAGGCGUGUAAGCGGGUCUCCUGGAAGCACCUUACUUCACUGGCUCUGCUUAUUGGCUGCAUAGCAGUAGGUUACUUUGGAAACAAAGGGGACCCACGAGCCUUGCUGAUCAUUGAUAUACUUGACAAAGCAAAUAAAACAUACAAGCCUAGUCUGGAGUUUGCAGUUUUACUCAUAGCAGUUUUGGCUUCUCUCUCCUCGAGGUAG